rnacentral:rRNA from 1 species
UACGAAGGAUGCAAGCGUUAUCCGGAUUCAUUGGGUUUAAAGGGAGCGUAGGCGGAUUGGUGAGUCAGUGGUGAAAUCUUUGGGCUUAACCCAGAAACUGCCAUUGAUACUGCUGAUCUAGAGUACAGUUGCCGUUGGCGGAAUAUGACAUGUAGUGGUGAAAUACUUAGAUAUGUCAUAGAACACCGAUUGCGAAGGCAGCUAACGAAGCUGUAACUGACGCUGAGGCUCGAAAGUGCGGGGAUCAAACAGG